rnacentral:rRNA from 1 species
AAGAUUAAACUGAAGAGUUUGAUCCUGGCUCAGAUUGAACGCUGGCGGCAUGCCUUACACAUGCAAGUCGAACGGAAACGAUGGAAGCUUGCUUCCAGGCGUCGAGUGGCGGACGGGUGAGUAACGCGUAGGAAUCUGCCCGAUAGUUGGGGAUAGCCCGGAGAAAUCCGGAUUAAUACCGAAUGUGGUCUACGGACUAAAGGAGGCCUCUCCUUGGAAGCUUUCGCUAUCGGAUGAGCCUGCGUUGGAUUAGCUUGUUGGUGGGGUAAUGGCCUACCAAGGCGACGAUCCAUAGCUGGUCUGAGAGGACGAUCAGCCACACUGGGACUGAGACACGGCCCAGACUCCUACGGGAGGCAGCAGUGGGGAAUAUUGGACAAUGGGCGCAAGC